AGUAACUACUUUAAUUUUAUUCUUGUUUCCUAUCUGAAAAUCUGGUAGAUUGGCUCCUGUUCUGGAAUAGUGAUCUGUAGCUAGCUUUCUUCUUCCCUUUCUACACCUCCCCACACCCCCAUGUGUGGAAGGAAAAUGAGGAAGGUCUUUGAACAUCUCUCUUGAUUUGCCCUAGAUACCAGUAGCUAAGAUUGGCCAGAGGUCUAAUUUUGGAUUGCUCUGUUGAACAGAUUGAGAUUAGCUAUUUAACAUACUGGUGAAUUUUCCUCAAGGAACAUACUCUGCAUCAAGAAACCCCUAACCUGCAUGGCCCAGCUGCCACGCGAAAGUGCUUAGGUUUGCAAAAAGAUGCUGUUAAUAAUAGUUAACACAGUUGUUGAAAGUGUAAUCACACCAAAGUUCAAAAUUUUAUUUCAAAAGCAGCUUAUGUUCGGGAAGGAUGGGUUGGACCUUCAGCUGUUGCAAGGUGGCACAGUCCCUCAGACAUGAGUAAGAUGACACUCAUUUACAUCCACUGAGGAUCUAAGCCUUCGAGGGAGGAUGGCAGAAAGUACAGCUGUAGUGGCUGGAAAGGCUAAAUCCCAUGCCAAUGAGGUGAAGGGGACUGUGCUGCAUGGACUACAGAUCUCAGAGAGAGAAGGUAAUUGAAAAACAAUUGAAAUUGUGUUUUGCUAGUCCCUGGAUGGAAGGAAUGGUCUGAUCCCUUGAAGAGAUUUAGAGGUUUUGGAAUUUCUCAGAUUUGUACCUGGUUAGUUGUGCUCUUGUAAACAUUUCAGCAGCUGCACAUGAACAAAAUGCAAUAACCCACUGACCAUUUCUCUUUUUCCCCAAGAUAUGCCCUUUCUGCCUAGAGCUGCAAAGAGGGUAGUAUCACAGUUACUGCCUUGAAAGCAUGCUCCAUCACUGUGGUCUGCUAUCUUUGCUGAGAAUUAUCUGCAGGAUGCAAGUCGUACUUCUGCUUCCUCUCUCCGAGAAGGUUAAAUGUGAGAUGCAGUGACUGAUGACCUCUAACAUGAAAUCACAUAACCGGCAUCUUUAGGUUUUACAUACUGCUUUACAACACAGUCUGCAAAGCUUAGAGUAAUGCAUUUCCCAAGUCAUAGCUGAUGUUUUUAAUUAGUAACUUUUUCUUUGCAUCCACAUUUUAAAGACUCUCAUGGAACACAGCAAUUUAAAUGCAACAGUUCUCGACAUUGCAACCUGUGACUCCAUAAUUUUCAAGACUGACAAGCUUUUCCAUGAACCAUAAGCUGCGUAGGCUGAGGAUUUACCAUAGGGCAGAGGCUUUCCAUGGCCAAGGCUGCGGGCCUUGAUGCCUUCUCAUUACCCCUAACUUGGAGAGUAUGAGAGUUCACCACAGACUCCUGCCUGUCUGCUUAGGCGUCGUUAAAAGGACACGAGGAAAUGGUCGCAUCCUGACUUGCAGAUCUCCCGCUCCCCCCUAUGCCUGCAGUGUGGAUUCAACCAGAGAUAUCAACUUGUCAAGAACGUGUUCAGAGCCUCUUUCUGGGAUGAGGAGGGCUUUGCAAGUAGUUGUGACUGGAUCAUUAGGCUGGUAAAAGAACUGGAGUCUGACUGAGGAUGGAGCCCUGAAAAGCUAUUUUGAAGAGCUCUGGCAUACACACUUGGCAGAAAAACUCUUCACAGUCCUGGAGAUGCCUAGAUGCCGGGUCAGCGGGGUCCCUUCUGCGCUUCUCAGGUAAGGGACCAAGCAUGGAAGAUUUCCUCAUCUUCCUCAAGGACUGAAGAACAGAAAAGCUGCAGCAGAACUGUCUCUCUGUUUCUUUCUUCUCUGCGCAUUGACAAAUUGAAGUGAGGAAUGGGAGAACUUACUCAAUUAAAGCAACAAGAGAGUUUCUCCUUUUCUUCAUGUCUGGUCAACCUGUCAAAACCUAACACCAACACUCCUGCCUGCCUUGACAGAAGACUGCAUGCCAGGUUACCUUUGCCUGGCGUGUUUCCCUGUCACAUCAUGAUUGUUUUUCAAAAUUAAGGAGACAAAACCAAGACUUGAUAGAGCUUGUAACCAGAUUAACAGAGCCAAAUGCCUCUUCCAUUACUCCUCCCACCCUGGCAUGAGAGGUGCACUCCAGUCCUCCUCAAACAGCUGCCUCAAUAGAACAUUUAGAGUCACCUUUCACCAUAAUUAACAAUUAUUACUCCUGUAACCAACAGUUCAGAAUUGCAAGCUUCUCCCAGAGUUGUAAUAUGUAGACAAGCAUUGCUCCCUUCAGUACUUAUGAGAUGUAGGGAAACAGGCUCAGCCUCAUACUGAAUAAGGGCAGCAUUCAGAAAUGCCAGGGGAAAAGCAGAAUCAGCUUAUCUUAGUGGGUGUUAUGGGAGGUAGUAUUCACAGCAACUUUUUCUUUUCCAAGCAGAAAAAAGAAAUUCAGAAUUCCAAACUGAAAAAAAAAAAAAGUUUCUGAAAAAGUAAAAAAGGGGACCUUUAAUUUUAUGCUGUCAUGUAAAAUAGUUGAUUAUACUUUUGUCUUCACUGUCUGGCCUUCAUUGCCCUUGCUUCUUUUCCCUGCUUGCUUUUUUUUCUUGUGAAAAUAUUUUCACAAUUUAUUUAAAUACGUUCAUUUAUUAAAAAAAAAAUCACAUUUCAUUUCCACAGAUGUAAAUGCUCUUACAUUUUCAUUAAGCCCUGUGAAUCUACUUGAAAUGUGUAAACAGGAAGAAGAUGAGAUCUCAAGAGACCCCAGGGGCUGAAAAGGUGAAAUUCAGAUGUGGAGGUUUUCAGUCAGGAACACUGAAGACCUGCUUUUUCAAGGGAAUAUGUAAUAGCCAUUCAUAUAUUCAAAGCACAGCUUCCAGAGGAUUUAAUAUCAUUUGGGAAUUUUUCCACGUCUUAAAUUCAGAAAUGUCUUCAGCUCAAUACUCAGCCAAUAAGGAUGGCAAUUAGUGACCACAUGAGGUAAGUUUGAUUUACGCAUCUUUGACUCCUUGCCGUUCCUCUGGUAGAGGCCAAAGCAGAAUAUAAUUUUUCAAAGAAUCUAUAAAAUUAUGUGAUGUUUUUCUCUUCGUGCACUCCUCUACAUCAUUAUUUUCAUAACUUCGAGAUUCCUACGGUCAAGUCUUCUUCAUUCUAUAACUCUGACUUCGGUCCAGCAUUGUUCCAGCCCUCAAUGGAAAAAAAAAAUCCCUGCUUAUCCUAAGGCUGGCUUAUUAUCAAUAGAUGGGGAAAUUCUUGACAAUAUGACAAACUAACAACGUGCAAACUUCUUUCUGUUUUUCCCGUAAGGACUAUAAAAGGCACAUAUGAGACAUUUUUUUGUUUGCUUGCCUCAAAGAGGGCCACUCAGCUCUAUAGAGAAGGUAGUUUUUAACAGGGGUUUUCCCCUCUAAUUCUCGAAAAUAGCAGAAAAUUUUCAGGAAAGUUUAGUCUGAGGGGAUAUAAAAUAUAAAAAUUAUCAUCCCCAAAAUGUAAACCUUGGUAAAAAUGAAAGGCAACUUGUAAAUUGCAAUUUGAAGUAUCAGCAGUCUUGACACUUAAGCCAUGGUGUAAAACCACUUCAGCAUACUGGAUGUACUAUUUACAAGGAAGAUGGUGAUAGCUGUAUCCUGACUAACAUGGAAUGAAAGAACUCUUUACUGUUAAGAGGUAAUUAUCUAAGUGUAUUAACAAGUGCUUGUUUUGUUUUAUUAAAAAAUUGAACUGUGUUCAAGAUAAGAUAAACUGGAAAAGUCUAAGUAGGCUUUAGCAAUUGUACAACAGAGAAAGGAGUUGAAAGAAGUUGACAAAGCCUAAAACAGAGAAUAAAGUUUCUGAACACGUAUCUUUCAGUUGUGUUGUCAAAUUGCUGUGUUUUCAUGGUUAUAACCCAUAUUUUAAAAAACAAAC